rnacentral:rRNA from 1 species
GAUGAAUGCUGGCGGCGUGCCUAAUACAUGCAAGUCGAGCGAACGGACGAGAAGCUUGCUUUUCUGAUGUUAGCGGCGGACGGGUGAGUAACACGUGGAUAACCUACCUAUAAGACUGGGAUAACUUCGGGAAACCGGAGCUAAUACCGGAUAAUAUUUUGAACCGCAUGGUUCAAAAGUGAAAGACGGUCUUGCUGUCACUUAUAGAUGGAUCCGCGCUGCAUUAGCUAGUUGGUAAGGUAACGGCUUACCAAGGCAACGAUGCAUAGCCGACCUGAGAGGGUGAUCGGCCACUCUGGAACUGAGACACGGUCCAGACUCCUACGGGAGGCAGCAGUAGGGAAUCUUCCGCAAUGGGCGAAAGCCUGACGGAGCAACGCCGCGUGAGUGAUGAAGGUCUUCGGAUCGUAAAACUCUGUUAUUAGGGAAGAACAUAUGUGUAAGUAACUGUGCACAUCUUGACGGUACCUAAUCAGAAAGCCACGGCUAACUACGUG